GCUUAGGACUUUGCUACUCUGAUCUCAUUGCUGUGUUACCUGGUUACAAGAUAUUUGUUAAUUAAAAAGGCUCCCAGCUGUUACUGUGUGUAGUGACAGUGCAAGUCAUGGCCUGUGAUUGAGCACCUGGUGGAAGGCAAAGCAACCCAGUGGAGCUCAGAUA
rnacentral:lncRNA from 1 species